GGUCAAGCGAAUAAGCGCACACGGUGGAUGCCUUGGCGGUCAGAGGCGAUGAAGGACGUGGCAGCCUGCGAAAAGUAUCGGGGAGCUGGCAACAAGCUUUGAUCCGGUAAUGUCCGAAUGGGGAAACCCACCCGCUUGCGGGUAUCCUGCAGUGAAUACAUAGCUGCUGGAAGCGAACCUGGUGAACUGAAAUAUCUAAGUAACCAGAGGAAAAGAAAUCAACCGAGAUUCCGUAAGUAGCGACGAGCGAACGCGGACUAGCCCUUAAGCUGGAUUGGUUCUAGGAAAACGCUCUGGAAAGAGCGGCCAUAGAAGGUGAUAGCCCUGUAUCUGAAAGGGCCAUUCCAGUGAAGACGAGUAGGGCGGGGCACGUGAAACCCUGUCUGAACAUGGGGGGACCAUCCUCCAAGGCUAAAUACUACUGACCGACCGAUAGUGAACCAGUACCGUGAGGGAAAGGCGAAAAGAACCCCGGAGAGGGGAGUGAAAUAGAACCUGAAACCGUGUGCGUACAAGCAGUAGGAGCUCCGCAAGGAGUGACUGCGUACCUUUUGUAUAAUGGGUCAGCGACUUACUGUUCGUGGCAAGCUUAACCGUAUAGGGGAGGCGAAGGGAAACCGAGUCUGAUAAGGGCGCAUAGUCGCGGGCAGUAGACCCGAAACCGGGUGAUCUAGUCAUGCCCAGGGUGAAGGUGCGGUAACACGCACUGGAGGCCCGAACCCACUCCCGUUGCAAAGGUAGGGGAUGAGGUGUGAUUAGGAGUGAAAAGCUAAUCGAACCCGGAGAUAGCUGGUUCUCCUCGAAAGCUAUUUAGGUAGCGCCUCAUAUGUAUCCUCUCGGGGGUAGAGCACUGUUAUGGCUAGGGGGUCAUCGCGACUUACCAAACCAUUGCAAACUCCGAAUACCGAGACGGACUGUAUGGGAGACACACGGCGGGUGCUAACGUCCGUCGUGAAAAGGGAAACAACCCAGACCCACAGCUAAGGUCCCAAAUUCACUGCUAAGUGGAAAACCAUGUGGAAAGGCACAGACAGCCAGGAGGUUGGCUUAGAAGCAGCCACCCUUUAAAGAAAGCGUAAUAGCUCACUGGUCGAGUCGGUCUGCGGGGAAGAUUUAACGGGGCUAAGCAGUGAACCGAAGCUUGGGGUGCAUACUUUGUAUGCGCGGUAGAGGAGCGUUCCGUAAGCCGUUGAAGGUGGAUUGAGAAGUCUGCUGGAGGUAUCGGAAGUGCGAAUGCUGACAUGAGUAACGAUAAUGCGGGUGAAAAACCCGCACGCCGAAAGCCCAAGGUUUCCUUGCGCAACGUUAAUCGGCGCAGGGUGAGUCGGCCCCUAAGGCGAGGACGAAAGUCGUAGUCGAUGGGAAGCAGGUUAAUAUUCCUGCACCUCGCGUAAGUGCGAUGGAGGGACGGAGAAGGUUAGGUGUACCAGGCGUUGGUUGUCCUGGGGAAAGGCGGUAGGUUUGGAUCUUUGGCAAAUCCGGGAUCCUUUAAGACCGAGCACCGAGACGAGCCUUUAUGGCGAAGUCACUGAUACCACGCUUCCAGGAAAAGCUCCUAAGCUUCAGCUUACGCAGACCGUACCGUAAACCGACACAGGUGGGUAGGAUGAGAAUUCUCAGGCGCUUGAGAGAACUCGGGUGAAGGAACUAGGCAACAUGGCACCGUAACUUCGGGAGAAGGUGCACCCUUUUUGGUGGCUCGUGCGAGCUAUAGCUGAAGAGGGUCGCAGUAACCAGGCCGCUGCGACUGUUUAUCAAAAACACAGCACUCUGCAAACACGAAAGUGGACGUAUAGGGUGUGACGCCUGCCCGGUGCUGGAAGGUUAAUUGAUGGGGUCAGCCGCAAGGCGAAGCUCUUGAUCGAAGCCCCAGUAAACGGCGGCCGUAACUAUAACGGUCCUAAGGUAGCGAAAUUCCUUGUCGGGUAAGUUCCGACCUGCACGAAUGGCGUAACGACAGCGGCGCUGUCUCCACCCGAGACUCAGUGAAAUUGAAAUCGCUGUGAAGAUGCAGCGUUCCCGUGGCAAGACGGAAAGACCCCGUGAACCUUUACUAUAGCUUUACACUGAACGUUGAGUUCGUCUGUGUAGGAUAGGUGGGAGGCUAUGAAACUGUGGCGCUAGCUGCAGUGGAGCCAUCCUUGAAAUACCACCCUGUCGUGCUUGACGUUCUAACCUGGGCCCAUUAUCUGGGUCGGGGACCGUGUAUGGUGGGUAGUUUGACUGGGGCGGUCUCCUCCUAAAGAGUAACGGAGGAGCUCGAAGGUACGCUCAGCGCGGUCGGACAUCGCGCACUGUGUGCAAAGGCAUAAGCGUGCUUGACUGCAAGAUCGACGGAUCAAGCAGGUAGGAAACUAGGACUUAGUGAUCCGGUGGUUCUGUAUGGAAGGGCCAUCGCUCAACGGAUAAAAGGUACUCCGGGGAUAACAGGCUGAUACCGCCCAAGAGUUCAUAUCGACGGCGGUGUUUGGCACCUCGAUGUCGGCUCAUCACAUCCUGGGGCUGUAGUCGGUCCCAAGGGUAUGGCUGUUCGCCAUUUAAAGUGGUACGCGAGCUGGGUUCAGAACGUCGUGAGACAGUUCGGUCCCUAUCUGCCAUGGGCGUUGGAGAUUUGAGAGGGGCUGCUCCUAGUACGAGAGGACCGGAGUGGACGAACCUCUGGUGUUCCGGUUGUCACGCCAGUGGCAUUGCCGGGUAGCUAUGUUCGGAAGCGAUAACCGCUGAAAGCAUCUAAGCGGGAAGCGCGCCUCAAGAUGAGAUCUCCCGGGGCACAAGCCCCCUGAAGGAACCAUGUAGACUACGUGGUUGAUAGGUCAGGUGUGUAAGUACAGCAAUGUAUUGAGCUAACUGAUACUAAUGAUCCGUGCGGCUUGACCAU
rnacentral:rRNA from 1 species